rnacentral:rRNA from 1 species
UACGUAGGGUGCAAGCGUUGUCCGGAAUUAUUGGGCGUAAAGAGCUCGUAGGCGGCCUGUCGCGUCGGCUGUGAAAACCCGGGGCUCAACCCCGGGCCUGCGGUCGAUACGGGCAGGCUCGAGUUCGGUAGGGGAGUCUGGAAUUCCUGGUGUAGCGGUGAAAUGCGCAGAUAUCAGGAGGAACACCGGUGGCGAAGGCGGGACUCUGGGCCGAUACUGACGCUGAGGAGCGAAAGCGUGGGGAGCGAACAGG